GAUGAAGACGUAGCGAAAUGCGAUACGUAAUGUGAAUUGCAAAUUCAGUGAAUCAUCGAGUCUUUGAACGCACAUUGCGCCCCCUGGUAUUCCGGGGGGCAUGCCUGUCCGAGCGUCAUUGCUGCCCUCAAGCACGGCUUGUGUGUUGGGCCCCGUCCUCCGAUCCCGGGGGACGGGCCCGAAAGGCAGCGGCGGCACCGCGUCCGGUCCUCGAGCGUAUGGGGCUUUGUCACCCGCUCUGUAGGCCCGGCCGGCGCUUGCCGAUCAACCCAAAUUUUUUAUCCAGGUUGACCUCGGAUCAGGUAGGGAUACCCGCUGAACUUAAGCAUAUCAAUAAGCGGAGA
rnacentral:misc_RNA from 1 species